rnacentral:lncRNA from 1 species
CCCCACAACUGCCUCACAAGCAUCCCAGAGUCCAGUCAGCAGACAGCAGAAGAGACUGUCAGCAGACCACCUUGGAGGGGAUGCUUGGAGCUGCCUAACGUGUGAUUCAAAGAUGAAUUCCAUGUGUUUGGAGAAGAAGCCCUAGCCUCAACACAAAGGUUGGCCACAUUCCAGCCAAGGUAGCACGGAGUGAAGGCCCGUGGAGGGAGAGCUGGGCUUUUCUGAACUACUUCAGUACACCUUGCUGUGCCUUGGCCUGCCGUGUUUCAUCCCCAUGGCUGUCCUCAGUGAUGUGCAUGGUCACUGCUCCCUUCACCACUGAGAAGACGGGCACAGGACAGUCAGGGGAUGUGUCCAAGGUCCCACAGCAGGAAGGGCUGGAGCCAGAAUGUGGUCUGAGAGGCUGGAUAUACAAAGAGACAAUGGCAUGACCAUCUGUACAAAUGGAACUAUGGCCCACAACCUGCAGCAGCCAGCCCAGGAAGCCAACCCGUCACCUGCAGCAGCCAGGAUGGAUGCUGGCCUGCCCUCAGUUGUACUCACAUCAUUGGUCUUAUGGGGAAAUUUUAAGACCUCCCACUUGUAAGGUUUUAUAGCCCUCUAUGGAAUAUUGAAGAAAGAGUAAAAUGCAUCCAAAAAAAAAAAAAAACACUAAACUGGAUAAAUUCUAAGGCCUCUUCAGGUCUUAAGAUGGCCAUUUUCUAGGUCCUCUUGCUGCAGCAGUGAAAUCCACAAACACGGACAAGUCAGUCAGUUACGUGCCUUUCAGAGAAAACUUCUGACUUAGGAAUUCCAGCUAUUUGGCCCAACCCAUAUUAGAUUGUGUUAUAAAGACAUGGUAAAUUACAUCACGAAGGGAAGAGCAGAGGAAACAUAAUAUUCCUUCAAGACCCAUCAGCUCAGAUGUUAGCAGAACACCCCUAAGGAGGAAAACAAGAAAUUUUGGGUUUGAACUUGGUACUUCCCAGCAGCCCUGGGAGUGGGGUCAGAAGCCCUGCUGGGGGCCAAAGAACUCUGAGGAUCAAAGAUGUUGAGCAUCACCUUAGAGGCCAAAGAUCAGAACAGUGGAGGUGGCCUUUGAAGCCCAACCUGUCUUUCACCAGAGAGUGAGAACGGCCUCUAUUUCCAGGAAGCUCACUGCAGCAAUAAUCAUGAUGCUCUGAGCCUGACAAGGUGAGAAUUUACUUUCAGCACCUGCAAUAGUUUCCUAUUAAAGUUACAUAUGAAACCCUGCCGUCUUGUACCAACUAAUGUUCACACCAGCGUUCCUAUUUUCAAGAUAAAUUGCAAAAUAAAAACUCUUGUUUUCGUUAGCAAAAGAAAACUUCUUUAGGAGGAUAAAAGGGAGAUGAAGAAACAGAAAACACAUCAGCUCUCCAUCCAGAUUACAGAAAGCAGAAAACAUCCUGAAGUGAAUAACAUAGGAAUCGCUCUUUUUCCCCCCUGAGAUAGCAGGUUACUUAUGAGAAACAAGCUUGAAAUCUCUGCACCUGGACCAGCUUCCAGAGGCUUUUGUCCUGACCAGCUGGCUUUGGGGAAGUAAAGGAAACCAGAGAAGAAGAGGCUGAAAGAAUUGGUUUCCACCGUGACCUUUGAACCCUCGGGCGAGUUGUCAGCCUCACUGAGGAUGAGUGUACUCCAUAUCAAGUGAGGUCACUUUACUCGCAAGCUUGUUGUGAGGACUGAAUGAAACCUUUUCUUUUUUCUUGGAGUUUCAGAGCAACGUCCCUGAGCCCAGCCCCACACUGGCUUGAGCCCUGUCGUCGGUCAAGACACGGUGCUUUCUCCCCUCCCCUCUGCACUCCAGCUUACUCUGCAGUCAGGAGGUGGCACCACGAUCCCCUUUAAGACUUUGCCACUUGGGCCAGCUGCGCCCCUGUGAAAUUCCCUGUUUCUAUUGCAGGCCACAAGGACGAGCUGAGAAAUGGCUUCCAGUCACCAUCUAGAUUAGAAAGCCUAUAUUUCAAAUAUAGAUAUAUCAAUUAUGCCUGUAAAAAGACAUUAAAUCCCACAGGGCUGUAAUUCCUAGACUCUACGAAUUUCAUCUUGCACCAAAUUUUAUUAUUUCAUUUAUAAUUCGGAUUCUUCAAAUCUAAGAGUGCCUGGCUCAAAAUUAAAAUACCUACAACUAUGCCAAAACUGGACUCUUUAAUUGCCUUACUGGAACCAGUAGCUGAUUCAAAGCAAAACGAAACAAAAUUCCUCCUUUCUCUGAUUUAGUGAAUCAAUGAUCUAACUGAACUCAUUUUUGGACUGAGUUUGCGGCACUUGCAGCCCUGAGGGACACAUUCCCCCACCACACUGAGCCUGCACUCCCAUCAAUGCAAAUGAACAUUUUGCUUAUUCAGAUUGGGGGGGUGAAGGAAGUCACAAAAGGGUUAAUACAUAUGGCAUUUCAUUGUAAUAUGUACUCACUACUAACUAAAUUAAAAGAGAUGUGAGUUAUUAAAAACUCCAUCUUAAGAAAGUAACAGAAAUCAGAGUUCAGAUUCGUUGUUACUGAGUUUCCAACCAACACCUGUGAGUUAAACCUACGGCCACCCUGAAAACGGUUCAUAUUUUCAAAAGCUUCAUCGAAGAUGAGCUGCACUAAAGAUUCAUAUUACAUAUCAUGCUGCAAUAAGAAAAUCAAAUAAGGCCUUUCCAUAUUCAAUAAUAAAGUUUAAAGAAAAGUAAUAUUUGUUUAGCCAGUUAGCCAGAAAUUAGAUGUAUCAGAAUACAUCAUUCUUUGAGCAUUUUAGAAAAAUCAGGGUAUUUC